rnacentral:rRNA from 1 species
UAUCUUUUAUAGGAUAUUACUUUUCAGUGAAUACAUAGCUGAUUAGAGGUAGACGCAGAGAACUGAAACAUCUUAGUACCUGCAGGAAGAGAAAGAAAAUUCGAUUCCCUGAGUAGCGGCGAGCGAAACGGGAAGAGCCCAAACCAACAAGCUUGCUUGUUGGGGUUGUAGGACUCCGAUAUGGUAGUCUGUUAGUAUAGUUGAAGGAUUUGGAAAAUUCCGCUAAAGAGGGUGAAAGCCCCGUAGACGAAAUGCUAACAACACCUAGGAGGAUCCUGAGUACGGCGGAACACGAGAAAUUCCGUCGGAAUCCGCGGGGACCAUCCCGCAAGGCUAAAUACUCCCUAGUGACCGAUAGUGAACCAGUACCGUGAGGGAAAGGUGAAAAGCACCCCGGAAGGGGAGUGAAAUAGAUCCUGAAACCGUGUGCCUACAACAAGUCAAAGCUCGUUAAUGAGUGAUGGCGUGCCUUUUGUAGAAUGAACCGGCGAGUUACGAUUGCAUGCGAGGUUAAGUCGAAGAGACGGAGCCGCAGCGAAAGCGAGUCUGAAUAGGGCGAAUGAGUAUGUAGUCGUAGACCCGAAACCAUGUGAUCUACCCAUGUCCAGGUUGAAGGUGCGGUAAAACGCACUGGAGGACCGAACCCACGUACGUUGAAAAGUGCGGGGAUGAGGUGUGGGUAGCGGAGAAAUUCCAAACGAACUUGGAGAUAGCUGGUUCUCUCCGAAAUAGCUUUAGGGCUAGCCUCGGAAUUGAGAAUGAUGGAGGUAGAGCACUGUUUGGACUAGGGGCCCAUCUCGGGUUACCGAAUUCAGAUAAACUCCGAAUGCCAUUCAUUUAUAUCCGGGAGUCAGACUGCGAGUGAUAAGAUCCGUAGUCGAAAGGGAAACAGCCCAGACCACCAGCUAAGGUCCCAAAAUAUAUGUUAAGUGGAAAAGGAUGUGGGGUUGCACAGACAACUAGGAUGUUGGCUUAGAAGCAGCCACCAUUUAAAGAGUGCGUAAUAGCUCACUAGUCGAGUGACCCUGCGCCGAAAAUGUACCGGGGCUAAACAUAUUACCGAAGCUGUGGACUACACCAUUAGGUGUAGUGGUAGGAGAGCGUUCUAAGGGCGUUGAAGGUCGAUCGUGAGGACGGCUGGAGCGCUUAGAAGUGAGAAUGCCGGUAUGAGUAGCGAAAGACAGGUGAGAAUCCUGUCCACCGUAUGACUAAGGUUUCCUGGGGAAGGCUCGUCCGCCCAGGGUUAGUCGGGACCUAAGCCGAGGCCGAUAGGCGUAGGCGAUGGACAACAGGUUGAUAUUCCUGUACCAGUUGUUUUUGUUUGAGCAAUGGAGGGACGCAGUAGGCUAAGGAAUGCAUGCGAUUGGAAGUGCAUGUCCAAGCAAUGAGUCUUGAGUAGAGUUAAAUGCUUUACUCUUUAAGGACAAGUUGUGACGGGGAGCGAAAUAAUAGUAGCGAAGUUCCUGAUGUCACACUGCCAAGAAAAGCUUCUAGUGAGAAAACAACUGCCCGUACCGUAAACCGACACAGGUAGUCGAGGAGAGUAUCCUAAGGUGAGCGAGCGAACUCUCGUUAAGGAACUCGGCAAAAUGACCCCGUAACUUCGGGAGAAGGGGUGCUGACUUCGGUCAGCCGCAGUGAAUA